rnacentral:rRNA from 1 species
AUUGAACGCUGGCGGCAGGCCUAACACAUGCAAGUCGAACGAGUGGCGGACGGGUGAGUAAUGUCUGGGAAACUGCCUGAUGGCGGGGGAUAACUACUGGAAACGGUAGCUAAUACCGCAUACCAUCGGAUGUGCCCAGAUGGGAGUCGCUAGUAGGGGGGGUAAAGGCUCACCUACGCGACGAUCCCUAGCUGGUCUGAGAGGAUGACCAGCCACACUGGAACUGAGACACGGUCCAGACUACUACGGGAGGCCGCAGUGGGGAAGAUUGCACAAUGGGCUCAAGCCUGAUGCAGCCAUGCCGCGUGUAUGAAGAAGGCCUUCGGGUUGUAAAGUACUUUCAGCGGGGCGGCGUUACCCGCAGAAGAAGCACCGGCUAACUCCGUGCCAGCAGCCGCGGUAAUAC